UUUCCCGUCAAGCAACUUAUCAAGCAUUAAUAGCAGCAGCUUUCUUCCACCACCUUGCAAGAGAGUAUAUUGCCAAACUUGCAGAAAAUGUCUUGAAGGGAAAAAUUAUAUGUGUCCAAAUGUGUAAGUGAAUAAUCUGGGUGAAGAUUUGACAGAGGAUACAAUUCGAGGUAAGCUCUCUGAGUUUGGAAAAGUUGGCACUGAUGUUAUCAUGAAGGAUGGCAAUGGGAAAUCCAGAGGGUUUGGUUUUGUGUACUUUGAGUUGCCAGAUGAGGCUAAGAAGGCUGUGGAGGCCCUCACUGGUGCAAUCCUAGGGUCAAAGAAGUCGUUUCUUGGAAGGGCUCAGAAAAAAGCUGAAAGGCAGGAUCUUCUAAAACAUGAAAAUUGCAAGAAUCUGUAUGCGAAGAAUCUUUGAUGACGAGGAACAAAAUCGGGAAGCAGAGAAUAUUUUCCAUGAAACAUGGAAGCUUCUUGGAAUCUUCGCAUACACGUCAUCAUCAAUUUUCCAAGAAUAUUUUUUCCUCACACACAGGGUGGCGUGGGGCGCGUGGUGGUCCUGGCCUGAUUAUCUGGCUCACUACUACGGGGGCUUGGGGCUCCGAUUGGGCUGAAAUUGUAAAGCCCAACGAUCGACUAUAAAAACUAAAGAGUGAGGUUUUUUUAUUGUUUUGCUUUUUGAUGGGUGUUGAAUGAAGAGUACAGGCAUUAGGUUUUUUUGUGUUUGAGGAUGAUGGGUGAAGGCGGUUUUUAGGGUUUUGUACGACGAUCUUAUUCCAUAUUAACAUAAAGAUGAUUGACGAAGACGGUAGAAUUUUUCUGUUAGGGUUUCUCGACGAUGGGUGAGGACGAUAGGAUUUUCUAUAGGAAUUUUUUGGGCAUGCUUUAGGAUUUUUCAGGAAUGGAUCGGGCUUGACGCAAGGAAAGGGUUCAUGAUGGUUGGCACAUUUGACACAGUAGAACCCUCCUUUUAUAGAAAGUCGGGAGAAGGUUAACAACAAUUGUUGAGAAAUAUCAGGGAACUGAUGAUCAUCCAUCCCAACAAAUUCCUAUGCAAACCCUGUAUUUCAUAAUGAACCCUUUAUUAGUGAUUUGGGUAUUAACAUCUGCAGCUUGGUCUAUUACUCUCAAUGAUCCGAGUUUGAUUAGCAUGGUGGGAUAAGUUUAUUUGGAGUGCUAACAGGAGUUGUUUUUUUGGGCUUCCAAUUGAUGUUGUUUUUGCAGGAAGUGAUAUGAUGUAUUAUGCAGAAUUUGAUAAGAUCAAGAGUUACAUAUAAUGAUGAGUUUCGUUGUUACCUUUUUUUCUUCUUUUUCCUCAAUAUGGAGCAUUUUGUCCCUUGUAUGAGUGCUUUUUGUCGGAUAUCAUAAAGCCUAAUCAAGGGACAUUUGAUUUUUAGAAUUCUUUCUUUCAUAAAAGAAUGACAUAGAGAUACUGAUUUUUUAAAUCAUCUCUUCCCUUUGAAGAGCAAAAUGGAAUUUAAGUUUUUUUUUGUAUUUGAAUGCUUUUUUUUUUGGAUAUCGUAAAGCCUAAUCAAGGGACAUUUGAUUCUUAGAAUUAUUUCUUUCAUAAAAGAAUGACAUUAUAGAUAUUGAUUUUUUAAAUCAUCUCUUCCCUUUGAAGAACAAAAUGGAAUUUAGGUUUUUUUGUAUUUGAACUUAAUUUUUGUUAUUUGAAAGAUUGAUUUGAUAAGUGUUCAUUUAUAAUAGCUUGUUUGUUGUUACUUAUGAUGUCAAUAUCCAUGUGUUUGUCUUUUCUUAUCCUCUGUCAAAAGAUUGAAUUGAAUGCACAUUUAUAAUAGAAAUAAUUUUUUUUACUCCCUCUUUUAUCGUGAUUAUUCACAUAUUUUUCCAGGAGGUAAAACUUUGAAAAUGUUAUCCUGCAAGACUUUUGAGUGUCAUUCAAUUCCCUGUUGCUUUUUAGGUGUGUUUUGGAAUUUGGAACCUUUGGAUUAAUGUGAGAAAUAAGAAUAAGUGUAGUUAUGUGGUAACAAAUUCAUAUUUAUUUAUUUUCUAUUGAAUAUCAUGUUUUUGGGGCUGUUACAUUUAUGUCUCUGAGCACUCUUCUUUAUGACAUGGACAUCAAUUUGCCUCAACUCAAUUUUUUUGAUUUCUGGUUUCAUAAGAAAGGGUCAGAGUGAGGACAUUAAAAUAGGUCAGUUUUUUUAAUUCUUAUUUUAUUUUGUUAAUUUUUAAAUAAAAACAUGGCUAAUCUAGUUGUCUAGCUCACAAAUUGAAGAGCUUUUACUAUUCUUUGGGUUACCAAGGUUUGAUUUGUGAAAACCUUACUAUGAGGUUUUUGGAAAUAAGUAAAUAAAUAACUUGUCUAUGAAGAGCUUAUUUUUUUUCUCUCACUUUCCUUUGGAUUACCAAGGUUUGGUUUGUGAAGAUUUUGUCUAUGAGGUUUUUGUAAAUAAAUAAGUAAAAAUGUAUGUAGGGUUUGCACUAUGGUUUAUAAGUAAAAAGUGGUAUCUUGCCCAGGAAUUGUAUAUUGACUUGGUCAUGUGCCAUUUGUAUUUUAGGCAGCUUGUGUUUUGUUCAAGAAUUCUUUGAUUAAUUUGUUAUGUUAUUAUUGCUUCCUUUUCCCACUAAUGAUCAUCCAUCCCAACAAAAAAUAUGUGUGAAUAAUUUUUUGCUGAGGAGUUGUGGUUCCUACAAUAAUGAGUUAUAUUGUGAGGUUGGGUUCAAUGAGGUUGUGGGCAGUCUUAAAAUGCGACUGCAUUUUUAUUUUGCUUUGAUUGAGCUUGGUCUGUUGAGCUGAAACUCAAUUUUCUAUUGUAGCUUGGUGACUUACUCUGUAGGGAAUAGAAGUGUUGAACAAGGUUCCCACCAGGAUUCCUCUUAUGUAAACUAUGCCCAUGAAUUAAUAUUCAAAUUGACCACAAAAGAAGGGGGAAAAAAGAAGCACUAAUGCACAAUGGUAGAGCCAGCUAUACUACUGUUAUCCACUACAUUAGGAUUUUGGUUAGAUUUGCAUGUUGUGCAAGGAUUUCUGUCCUUUUUAAUCAAUAGACAUGUUUCAGAUACAGAAAAAGAAAAACCCUCCUAGUUUAUGUAAGGAUGGUGGGAUAGGAUUGUUUAGGGUGCUAACAAAACUGUUUGUUUUUUGACUUAUUGUUUUUGUGGUUUUUCUAAGAAAUAGUAUGAUGGGGGGCCAUGGGGUUUAAUAAGUUCAGAGCUACAUAAUAUAAAGUAAGUGUGUUUUUUCUUUUUCUUAUUUUGCCUUAAAUGUGAAUUUGGCGAUUGAUUUAAUCAGUGUUUGUUUUCAACAGCCUUAAUGUGGGAAUAUUUCUCUCAUUUUUUAUUAAGAUGUCAUAAUACUAAAUAGGAGAGAUGAAUUUAUUUAGUCCUAAGAAAGGAUCUUGUUAUUUUGUUACAGAGUUUUUCAGGAAACUGGCAUUUGAAUUAUGUUUUUUGGGUUCAAUUUCUUUGUAUGAGACCUUGUCUACUUGUGAGUCUUUAAAGAGUGCAGAAUUUGAAUAUAUCAACAGCCAUGAUGCUUCUGCAGUUAAUUCUAUCGAGAGAAAGAUAGGUACCAGUCUCCCAAGUUCGAAAGCAUGUGGAAAUAACCGGUUUCUUCUUCUAACAAAUUUCUAACUUUUCUAACCCACUUCAUUUGGCUACUCUGGAUGGGCUUUCUCCUUGGCUGAUUUGUUUGAUAGUAGGCAUGUUUAUCAUACAGAUUUAUUUCUUUCAUUAAACUACUGGUAAUUAAAAUGUUGUCCAUGACAUCUUGCUUAUCUUUUUGUGGCUGCAAAUAUUAGAAUAUAUUCUUGUGGCCUUACUAAUUUAGUUUCUGUGAUUUUGAUCUCAAGGAAUAUCUACAAGGGAGAUCUUGCGGUGGAAACAAUUUACAAGAUUGUGAAGGUUGAUAACAAUUUCUUAGAUCCAUGGUUUGUGCAACCAUUGAUUGUGAUAUCUACCAUCACUUGCAUGCAUACAAAUGUUAGGACACCUCUUUUGCAUUUUAAAUGUAUGUGCUAUUUUGUUCCCAUACAUUGUUCACUGCAUCAGUAUUGCUAGGCAAACACGUAUCCUAACUUAUAAAUUAUUUAGUACAUCAAUAUUGCCAAGGAAACACAUAUCGAAACUAAUUCAUUUCUCGUGGACUUGCGGUUUCCUAUAAAAUCACCCUUCAGAAUUUUCGAACUGACCCUGCUAUUAAAAGCUUUGUUGCUUUCAUAGGUUCGGGUGGAAAAACAACCUCAUAUGUGCUUCGCAAAAUUUGAUUACUAGAGAGGCAAGGCUAGAAAGUUUGCAUUCGUCUAUAAUCUUUGACUCCACAAAUGGAUGAAAUGCAUUAUAUAGACUCUCUACUCCACUGAGUUCUACAAAACUUGACCAUGUAGAAGGUAGGUAAAACUAACAGAAGCAGCUAAACUAUCCCAAGUGCCUAGAGAAGACCAACUGAGGUGUGCCAUACAAUGAAUCCAACUGAUCCUUGGGGUAUGAAGCAUAAUGUUUGAAUUAUCUGCUGAUGUCUAACUUAUCAAUGCCAUUAAAAAGUUAUCUUCCAUUUCCAUCUGCUUAAAGGUAUGUGUAAUUACUACUCUACUAUCAUUUGCUGCUUCAACAUUUACUCCUAUUUUUAAGUGGACUCAGUGUUGCUAAAUUUGAGCUUUCAAACAUCUUUAAACACCUUUACACUCCUUCAUAAACCAUAAUUCUGCUUUUUUAUUUGUCAUUACUUAACCGAUGCUUCAAAUUACAUGCUUACCUUGCUUUGCUUCACAAACUUGUUAUCUUCAACUUUGUUUUUGGACUAAAAUUACCAACCUAAUCUAGCCAUGCUAACACCACUAAGAAUUAUGUUUUUGAAUUAUGCAACCUAAGCCGUCAUGACACGGAACUUGCCUGCAGCCAUCCUAAGAUAGAAUAUUUAAUUGAAUUGAACAUAUAAAAACUAUUCCAUUCCUACAACACUCUAUUUAAAACCCUACCAAAAUAUGAUGAGAUACUCAUUAUUGACUAUCAAAUAGAAUAUAAUUAAGAAUAUGCAUGCAUGUACCUGUGUACAUCGUACUAAAAAUAAUCUAGAUUUUGUGUGCCUAUAUAUAUAUGGAGCAUUUGAAAAGACAAUAAAUAGAUUGCUUGUAUGGUGUACUUACAUUUGUAUAAAGGAUUUGCUUAUUUUAGAGUGUGAAAAUGCUCAUGAAGCUCUGCUAAAAUUGCAGCAUCUGCAUUCCAUAUCUUGGCUCAAUUUUCUUGCAUUUUCUUUCUUCAUGACUUCUUUGUUGCUGCAAUGCUAUUGUUUGCCUGCUACUGGCCAUCUGGUAAAGCCAAACGCGGUUCAUUUCGCAUGAAACUUUAGAAGAAUAUUCCAUUCGAUUUUACAUGGGGAACAUCGUUAUGGAGUGGGAUUUUGAAUCCAAGCAUUGGAUUUUUGCAUUUUGGUAAAGGUGCAAAUUUAUGAAGAACCACUUGAAGAUCAAGAGAAGUUCUAGAGCAAUUGUUUUUAUUUAUAUUAAUUUUUUUUUCCGACGUAUGUUAAUUCAAGUUAUAUGGAUUAUUGUAACUUAAAAAUACUUUAUCAUAGAAAUUAUGAUAAAAAAUUGUAUAAACAGCUUAGGUUGUAGGAUGAUUAAUAAAUUUAUUAUGCUUUUACUUGUGUA